UUAGGUAUGAAUCAGUUCAUUGAUUUGCCAUUCACUGCUCCCUUAUCUUCUAGAUGUGUUUGGGAGAUGCAAUCUUUUCCUAUUACUCAGCAACAUCUGCUCUUCUUAUUUGAAUCCUGCCUCUGCCAGAUGCCAAUAAUGAUUACAUCUAUAAUUCAGGAUGCUCACAUCUUCCAGUUCCACGUGGGAGAUCCUGAGGAUGGGAUCUCACAUGCCCAAGAUGGGAAACCCUACUCUGUUUUGUGAGUGGUCCCUGUGAUUAUUCAAAGUACAUCUACAGCACAAUCCCUUGGAUGUCCAUUCAGAAGUAACUCAUGUUGAAUUCAAAGGGAGUUCAUCCCAGGUAGCAGGGUUUAGGACUGCAGCUGCAAGUAUUAACAUAACGAUAAUGGUCUACGAUGUUGGCACUUCUUUUCCUUCUAACUUCUGUGUUUACAUUUUCUAUUGACACCUAUCUGCUGGUGCUGCAAUGCAUGUGGGUAUAAGGCUGAUGAUCUAAUAGAUGUGCCAUGUGAUCAGGAAUGUUAUGGAGCUUUAGCAAUGUCCAUAUGAUAGACAGGCAUGCCCUCUCAAUGGCAGACAAAUGGAUCUCACCAAAUUGGGGUUUCCUGCUGAGAAGAUUUGUCCUGUGCACAGACCACUCUCCUCUUCUAUGGCUAAAGACCAUUUGAGCAAACAGGAGCAAAUUAAUGAGAUGGGUGCUGAUCCUGCAAGGCUUCGACUUUGAGAUCCGCAGUGUAAAAGGGACUCAGAAUAUGGUUGCUGAUGCCUUGUCUCGAAGGCCAAAUGACUAAUGGGCGGAUAAAAAGUUUGUAAUAUUGUGUUAAAUGUUCUAUUUGUGUAAUGGUUACAGAUUAAAAUGCAGAGUUUGCUUGGAUGUUGAUGAACUGAGAGGUGUAUAGUGAUGGUAAAAAUAAUGGUGAGUGUCCUUAUUAAUGUAAAGUAAUAUGUAAUGUUAUUUGUAUUAAUGUAAGUAAUGCAAGAGGUUAAUAUGUCUUUGUUGAUGUAAGAGUAAUGUGAUAUAUCCUUAGUGAUGUAAAUAAUGCAAGAGGUUGAAAUUUGUAUUUUUUCAUAAAACUUCAUUUGUUUAUGAGGGCAAACCAUUAAGUUUUCCCCCAAGACAAACUUAUUAAGAGGGGAGGAAUGUGGCAUCUGCCCAGGUCAUGAUUAUUCAUAUGCUAUUUGCAUAGAAAACGGAACUGCUGGAGGGGCGGAGUCAUGAGGUAUAAGAGACUCAGUGGGAGGAGCAUAAGUUUUGAUAGGGACAGAGAUAUAAGGUUUUCGGGUGGAGUCACGAGGUAUAAGAGACUCAGUGGGAGGAGCAGGAGUUUUGAUAAGGUUUUAGAGAUAGAGAUAUAAGGUUUUGAGAUAGGGAGUUUGAGGGAGACUUGAAGGGUUUGGCGUUGUUUUGGAGUUUGAGUGGGAGAGUGGUGGUUGAGGGUGGAUAAAAAGAAUGUUUGUUUAAGAGUUAACAACAUUGCUUGUUCUGUCAACACCUGUAUCAAUAAACAAUUUCUAUUUGAUGGUUGUUGUGGGUUU
rnacentral:lncRNA from 1 species